rnacentral:ncRNA from 1 species
GUUAUCAAGAGCGGCGGAGGGACUGGCCCUGUGAAGCCCGGCAACAGCCAGCAUAGCUGGAAAUGUGCUAAAUCCUGCAGACAAAGUGUCUGGUAGAUAAU